rnacentral:tRNA from 3 species
UGGCAAGUAGCACAGCGGUAGUGCCCCCGGCUGUUAACCGGGUGGUCGCAGGUUCGAAUCCUGCCUUGCCAGCCA